AUUGAACGCUGGCGGCAGGCUUAACACAUGCAAGUCGAGCGGGGGAAGGUAGCUUGCUACCGGACCUAGCGGCGGACGGGUGAGUAAUGCUUAGGAAUCUGCCUAUUAGUGGGGGACAACAUCUCGAAAGGGAUGCUAAUACCGCAUACGUCCUACGGGAGAAAGCAGGGGAUCACUUGUGACCUUGCGCUAAUAGAUGAGCCUAAGUCGGAUUAGCUGGUAGGUGGGGUAAAGGCCUACCAAGGCGACGAUCUGUAGCGGGUCUGAGAGGAUGAUCCGCCACACUGGGACUGGGACACGGCCCAGACUCCUACGGGAGGCAGCAGUGGGGAAUAUUGGACAAUGGGGGGAACCCUGAUCCAGCCAUGCCGCGUGUGUGAAGAAGGCCUUAUGGUUGUAAAGCACUUUAAGCGAGGAGGAGGCUCUUUUGGUUAAUACCCAAGAUGAGUGGACGUUACUCGCAGAAUAAGCACCGGCUAACUCUGUGCCAGCCGCCGCCGUAA
rnacentral:rRNA from 1 species